rnacentral:rRNA from 1 species
AAGUAGGGGAUCGCAAGACCUUGCGCUUUUGGAGCGGCCGAUGCCUGAUUAGCUAGUUGGUGGGGUAAGGGCCUACCAAGGCGACGAUCAGUAGUUGGUCUGAGAGGACGACCAGCCACACUGGGACUGAGACACGGCCCAGACUCCUACGGGAGGCAGCAGUGGGGAAUUUUGGACAAUGGGCGAAAGCCUGAUCCAGCAAUGCCGCGUGAGUGAAGAAGGCCUUCGGGUUGUAAAGCUCUUUCAGUCGAGAAGAAAAGGUCGCGACUAAUAAUCGCGACUCAUGACGGUAUCGACAGAAGAAGCACCGGCUAACUACGUGCCAGCAGCCGCGGUAAUACGUAGGGUGCGAGCGUUAAUCGGAAUUACUGGGCGUAAAGGGUGCGCAGGCGGCUUUGUAAGUCAGAUGUGAAAUCCCCGGGCUUAACCUGGGAAUUGCGUUUGAAACUACAAAGCUUAGA